GAAGCAAUUUUAGAAGGAAUCAGAUGUAUUGUAUCCGGCAUCUUCCCCGGGUGUCUCCAUAUAUGACCAGCCCUCGCCACACGUGGAUUCCCCACUCGCCCAUCCCCCCAAAAUCCCCAACUGCAGGCACCACUGGCUCCGGCGCAAUUUCAAAGCCUCCUCCGCUCUCGAGAGAUGUGAAGGCCGCCGAUCUACCGGGUUAGUGCCGAGCCGCCUCUCAUCCCUCGCGUCGCCCCACAACUGCCGAGUCGUACCACGUAGGCGAAGGUCGUCCUGGUCCCUCCACGUGCCAGAGAUGCCCGAGCCUGUAUGUUGCGAUACCUGCAGGAGCACACAGUUGAGUAGUUCGAUCCAAAGAGGUGAAGAAGUUCAGGGAGAGACAUGGGUCUCUACUGGAGUAGAUAGAGAUAGAGGAUAGAUGAGAAAGAUGAUACGUUGACAGGCAUACUGCAUUGAUCAUCGUGGCCACCACCACUUUUGGCCAUGUGACGGGCUACCUGCGAAUCUACAAACUAGGGCGACAAAUUGCAAUGCAGUUUUCUUGAUGAUAUGAUGAUUUAUUUGUGUUUGGUGUUGCCGAUUAUGUGCAUAUACUUGGAUCUAGUAUUGCUUAUUCCGACUGUGUGUCUAGAAAUCUAGGAGGUUUGGACAGCAAGCGAUUGUUUUUUCUUCCAUGCCACAUUUUCUGGGCAACUCAACAUAAAUACGAGUACAUCUUAUCCUUACAUUGUGUGUCGCCUUUACCCAUUGUUUAAACUUGCACUUCUAUAUAAUCAAAUUUCAUAGUUCUUCUCGACGCCCAUCAUCAUCAUGGCCCAAUCCUCAGCCACCCCAUUGCAAGAUGUGAUUACUGUGGUCAAACAGAUUGGUUCUCUUCCGAUCUCUUCUGAACAUUGGAGUAACAUAUCACCAUUUGGCCAGCUCUAUCUCUUCUGCACCUCUUCGUCCAUGGCAAAGGGAUGAAGCUAUUGGUGUUGAAAUGUGGAACAUAGGUCUGAAGUUGGCACCCACGCUCCAACGCAAAGUUUAGCUCUUACAUGGCUUUUGUUAUAGACGAUGUAUGACAGAAGCACUUUAUUAUAAAUGAUAAAUCCUGGCA